AGAGUUUGAUCCUGGCUCAGAUUGAACGCUGGCGGCAUGCCUUACACAUGCAAGUCGAACGGCAGCACGAGAGCUUGCUCUUGGUGGCGAGUGGCGAACGGGUGAGUAAUAUAUCGGAACGUACCCUAGAGUGGGGGAUAACGUAGCGAAAGUUACGCUAAUACCGCAUACGAUCUACGGAUGAAAGUGGGGGAUCGCAAGACCUCAUGCUCAUGGAGCGGCCGAUAUCUGAUUAGCUAGUUGGUGGGGUAAAAGCUCACCAAGGCGACGAUCAGUAGCUGGUCUGAGAGGACGACCAGCCACACUGGAACUGAGACACGGUCCAGACUCCUACGGGAGGCAGCAGUGGGGAAUUUUGGACAAUGGGCGCAAGCCUGAUCCAGCAAUGCCGCGUGAGUGAAGAAGGCCUUCGGGUUGUAAAGCUCUUUUGUCAGGGAAGAAACGGUGGACUCUAAUACAGAUCACUAAUGGCGGUACCUGAAGAAUAAGCACCGGCUAACUACGUGCCAGCAGCCGCGGUAAUACGUAGGGUGCAAGCGUUAAUCGGAAUUACUGGGCGUAAAGCGUGCGCAGGCGGUUGUGCAAGACAGAUGUGAAAUCCCCGGGCUCAACCUGGGAAUUGCAUUUGUGACUGCACGGCUAGAGUGUGUCAGAGGGGGGUAGAAUUCCACGUGUAGCAGUGAAAUGCGUAGAGAUGUGGAGGAAUACCGAUGGCGAAGGCAGCCCCCUGGGAUAACACUGACGCUCAUGCACGAAAGCGUGGGGAGCAAACAGGAUUAGAUACCCUGGUAGUCCACGCCCUAAACGAUGUCUACUAGUUGUCGGGUCUUAAUUGACUUGGUAACGCAGCUAACGCGUGAAGUAGACCGCCUGGGGAGUACGGUCGCAAGAUUAAAACUCAAAGGAAUUGACGGGGACCCGCACAAGCGGUGGAUGAUGUGGAUUAAUUCGAUGCAACGCGAAAAACCUUACCUACCCUUGACAUGUCUGGAAUCCUUGAGAGAUCAGGGAGUGCUUGAAAGAGAAUCAGAACACAGGUGCUGCAUGGCUGUCGUCAGCUCGUGUCGUGAGAUGUUGGGUUAAGUCCCGCAACGAGCGCAACCCUUGUCAUUAGUUGCUACGAAAGGGCACUCUAAUGAGACUGCCGGUGACAAACCGGAGGAAGGUGGGGAUGACGUCAAGUCCUCAUGGCCCUUAUGGGUAGGGCUUCACACGUCAUACAAUGGUACAUACAGAGGGCCGCCAACCCGCGAGGGGGAGCUAAUCCCAGAAAGUGUAUCGUAGUCCGGAUUGUAGUCUGCAACUCGACUACAUGAAGUUGGAAUCGCUAGUAAUCGCGGAUCAGCAUGUCGCGGUUAAUACGUUCCCGGGUCUUGUACACACCGCCCGUCACACCAUGGGAGCGGGUUUCACCAGAAGUGGGUAGCCUAACCGCAAGGAGGGCGCUCACCACGGUGGGAUUCGUGACUGGGGUGAAGUCGUAACAAGGUA
rnacentral:rRNA from 1 species